rnacentral:tRNA from 1 species
GGAUCAUUAGCUCAGUUGGUAGAGCACCUGACUCUUAAUCAGGGUGUCCAGGGUUCGAACCCCUGAUGAUCCACCA